rnacentral:rRNA from 1 species
GGAAGUAAAAGUCGUAACAAGGUUUCCGUAGGUGAACCUGCGGAAGGAUCAUUACCGAGUGCGGGCCCUCGCGGCCCAACCUCCCACCCUUGUCUCUAUACACCUGUUGCUUUGGCGGGCCCACCGGGGCCACCUGGUCGCCGGGGGACGCACGUCCCCGGGCCCGCGCCCGCCGAAGCGCUCUGUGAACCCUGAUGAAGAUGGGCUGUCUGAGUACUAUGAAAAUUGUCAAAACUUUCAACAAUGGAUCUCUUGGUUCCGGCAUCGAUGAAGAACGCAGCGAAAUGCGAUAAGUAAUGUGAAUUGCAGAAUUCCGUGAAUCAUCGAAUCUUUGAACGCACAUUGCGCCCCCUGGCAUUCCGGGGGGCAUGCCUGUCCGAGCGUCAUUUCUGCCCUCAAGCACGGCUUGUGUGUUGGGUGUGGUCCCCCCGGGGACCUGCCCGAAAGGCAGCGGCGACGUCCGUCUGGUCCUCGAGCGUAUGGGGCUCUGUCACUCGCUCGGGAAGGACCUGCGGGGGUUGGUCACCACCAUGUUUUUACCACGGUUGACCUCGGAUCAGGUAGGAGUUACCCGCUGAACUUAAGCAUAUCAAUAAGCGGAGGA